rnacentral:rRNA from 1 species
UACGGAGGAUGCAAGCGUUAUCCGGAAUGAUUGGGCGUAAAGCGUCCGCAGGUGGCUGUGUAAGUCUGCUGUUAAAGAGUGAGGCUCAACCUCAUAAAGGCAGUGGAAACUACAUGGCUAGAGUGCGUUCGGGGCAGAGGGAAUUCCUGGUGUAGCGGUGAAAUGCGUAGAGAUCAGGAAGAACACCGGUGGCGAAAGCGCUCUGCUAGGCCGCAACUGACACUGAGGGACGAAAGCUAGGGGAGCGAACAGG